rnacentral:rRNA from 1 species
GUCCACGCCCUAAACAAUGUGCACUAGAUCGAGGGAGGUAUUGACGCCCUUCUCGGUCGAAGUAAAACGUUGAGUGCACCGCCUGGGGAGUACGGUCGCAAGGCUAAAACUCAAAGGAAUUGACGGGGCUCACACAAGCGGUGGAGCAUGUGGCUCAAUUCGAAGCAACGCGAAGAACCUUAUCCUGGGCUUGACAUGUACGGAUUAGUUCGCUGAAAGGCGAAUGACACUCUUGUAGUGGAACGUACACAGGUGCUGCAUGGCUGUCGU